rnacentral:tRNA from 1 species
GGGGCCAUAGCUCAGUUGGGAGAGCGCUCGCAUGGCAUGCAAGAGGUCAGGGGUUCGACCCCCCUUGGCUCCACCA